rnacentral:rRNA from 1 species
GUGGGGAAUCUUGCGCAAUGGGCGAAAGACUGACGCAGCCAUGCCGCGUGAAUGAUGUAGGUCUUAGGAUUGUAAAAUUCUUUCACCGGGGACGAUAAUGACGGUACCCGGAGAAGAAGCUCCGGCUAACUUCGUGCCAGCAGCCGCGGUAAUACGAAGGGGGCUAGAGUUGCUCGGAAUUACUGGGCGUAAAGGGCGCGUAGGCGGACAGCUUAGUCAGAGGUGAAAGCCCAGGGCUCAACCUUAGAAUUGCCUUUGAUACUGGCUGUCUGGAGUUUGGGAGAGGUGAGUGGAACUCCGAGUGUAGAGGUGAAAUUCGUAGAUAUUGGAAGGAACACCAGUGGCGUAAGCGGCUAUCUGGACGAGUAUUGACGCUGAGGCACGAAAGCGUGGGGAUCAAACAGGAUUAAAAACCCGUAUUGUCC